CAGCAGUGGGGAAUCUUGCGCAAUGGGCGAAAGCCUGACGCAGCAACGCCGCGUGGGGGAAGAAGGCCUUCGGGUUGUAAACCCCUUUCAGUUGGGACGAAGCUUCCAGGGUUAAUAGCUCUGUGGAGUGACGGUACCUUCAGAAGAAGCCCCGGCUAACUACGUGCCAGCAGCCGCGGUAAUACGUAGGGGGCAAGCGUUGUCCGGAAUCAUUGGGCGUAAAGCGCGUGUAGGCGGUCCGGUAAGUCCGCUGUGAAAGUCGGGGGCUCAACCCUCGGAUGCCGGUGGAUACUGUCGGGCUUGAGUACGGAAGAGGCGAGUGGAAUUCCUGGUGUAGCGGUGAAAUGCGCAGAUAUCAGGAGGAACACCAAUUGCGAAGGCAGCUCGCUGGGACGUUACUGACGCUGAGACGCGAAAGCGUGGGGAGCAAACAGGAUUAGAUACCCUGGUAGUCCACGCUGUAAACGAUGGGCACUAGGUGUGGGGGGUGUCGACUCCCUCCGUGCCGAAGCUAACGCAUUAAGUGCCCCGCCUGGGGAGUACGGCCGCAAGGCUAAAA
rnacentral:rRNA from 1 species